rnacentral:lncRNA from 1 species
GGGGGACCCAGAUACGUUAUUCUUUAAGCUCACUUUCUUAUCCCAAAACUCUGCUAAAUUCUCCGUUCGAGCACUCCAUUCUUGUUGAGGCAGAGAACUGACUUGAGCGUCGGAGGGUCUUGCCGGAGCAACCCCACCUCCGGUUUAGACUUCCCUUGCAGGUCCCGGCGGCGACCGCGGCUUCUCCGACUCCAGCUUCU